CGAUAAGACCCUAUAGAAUUUUAUAUUAACUUUACCUAGCGGUUAAUGCUGGUUUUUUGUUAAUAUUUGGUUGGGAGGAUUAUUAAAUUUAACAAACUUUAUAUCAUUAUAAACUUUGAUUUAAGAAAAUAUAAUGACCUUCAAUUUGAAAUAGUUAGAGUAAAUUACCUUAGGGAUAACAGCGUAAUAUUUUUUUAUAGACCUUAUAGAAAAAAAUGGUUGCGACCUCGAUGUUGAAUUAAGAUAAAUUUUAAAUGCAGGAGUUUAAUAAUUAAGUCUGUUCGACU
rnacentral:rRNA from 1 species